GGUUGCGAUCAUACCAACACUAUUGCACUGGAUCCCAUCAAAAUUACAUAGUUAAGCGUGUCUGGGCGAGAGUUUGGUUUUCAAAAGCGUGUGGUGAUGCAAUGC
rfam:Helianthus annuus linkage group 12, whole genome shotgun sequence.